rnacentral:rRNA from 1 species
UACGAGGGGGGCAAGCGUUGUUCGGAAUUAUUGGGCGUAAAGGGCGCGUAGGCGGUGCGGUAAGUCUGAUGUGAAAUCUCCGGGCUCAACUCGGAGUCUGCAUCAGAAACUGCCGUGCUCGAGUGUGGGAGAGGUGAGUGGAAUUCCCGGUGUAGCGGUGAAAUUCGUAGAUAUUGGGAAGAACACCGGUGGCGAAGGCGGCUCUCUGGACCGACACUGACGCUGAGGCGCGAAAGCGUGGGGAGCAAACAGG